GACGAACGCUGGCGGCGUGCCUAAUACAUGCAAGUCGAACGCAGUGGGGACGGGUGAGUAACACAUGGGUAACCUCCCAUCAGAGGGGAUAACACUUGGAAACAGGUGCUAAACCGAUACUGAGGGAUGAACCCGCGGUGCAUUAGCUAGUUGGUGAGGUAACGGUUCACAAAGGCCACGAUGCAUAGCCAACCUGAGAGCGUGAUCGGCCAGAGUGGGACGGAGACACGGCCCAGACUCCUACGGGAGGCAGCAGUAGGGAAUUUUCGGCAAUUGACGAAAGUCUGACCGAGAAACGCGGCGUGAGUUAAGAAGGUUUUCGGAUCGUAAAACUCUGUUGUUAGAGAAGCGGUAUCUAACCAGAAAGCCACGGCUAACUCCGUGCCGGCAGCCGCGGUAAUAC
rnacentral:rRNA from 1 species